ACACUACAUUAAGAAGUGUCAUGUACUGUCAAGGACCUGGUACCUCAGGAAGUGCUUCUGGUGUAAGCUGUGCAUUAUGCUGUUUCAUUUUGACUGCUCUUUCCCACAGUUAUAAAAACUAUAAGCCUGUGUGCAAAGAAAA